GCAGGAAAUCUCACGUGAAUUCCAAGCGAAAUCAAAUACAGAAAAUCUGUCGGAAUCGAUUCGAAUUCAAAUCGCCAAACAACAAAUCAAAUGAAGUUGUAGAAAGAGUGGAAAAUCAUAUCGAAUAUAUAUAAAGAAUUUUUUUUUUCCAUAUUUCUGUUUCAAUUCGGUGAACAUAAAAGCAGCGGAAACUCUGUAAAAUCUCUCUAAAUUUUCAAAUUUAGGGGUUUUGAUUUUUGAUCUCUGCAGAGAUGAAUGAGCAAUCUGCGUCGAUGAUGAAUCAACAGCAGCAGAUGAUGAGUAUGAGUCAGAGCCAAAUGAUGGGAAUGAAUUCGCAUCCGCAGUUACAGCAGCCGCCAGUGAUGAAUCGUAGCUACGGGAUGUGGCCACAGGCGCCGCCGCCUCCGGCUAUGGAUCAGAUGAACUUCCCAAACCCAAGCUUUAAUGCUAUGCAGCCUCAGGGGUUUGUGAUGGGGAAGCAAUCAAAACCACUGCGACCACGGAGUAAUUGGAAGGGUAAGAAAAUGAAUAAGAUUGACAAGAGAAUGGAUGCAGGGAGAAGGAAUGAGAAGUCGAUGCUCAUCGGCACUAGCAGUGUGACUGGAACUGGUGCGCCAGGUGGAGGACCUGAUGGCGCACCCGGUGGCUAUGGUGGUUACCAACCUCCCACCCUUAAUGAAUUGCAACAACAAAACCGGUUAAAGGCCCGGAGAUUUUUCCCUAAAAAGAAGUUUCAUAAUUUCAACAAUAAUAAUAACAACAAUAGGGAUGCACCCUUUGCUCCUCGGAAUACAACAUCAUUUAUUAUCAGGGCAAAGAAGAGUGGUGGGAUUGCUUCAUUAGUCUCCCCAUAUCCUGUGACACCGGCUGUGCUUCCAACACCUAAUUUCUCCCCAUCAAGGGAAGUUGUGGUGGAUAUGGCUAAGGAGGAGUGGGGAUUAGAUGGUUAUGGAUCAAUGAAGGGUUUGAUUAGACUAAGAUCUCCUGGUCAGGAGUUAGAACCCCAUGAAGAUGAGGAUGAAGAGGAUGGAGAGUCUAGUGAGAGUGAUGUGGAGGAACAUGUUGAGGUGGAAAGAAGGUUGGACCAUGACUUGAGCCGUUUUGAGAUGAUUUAUCCAAACCAUAGUGCAGACUACAACAACGUUUUGGAAAACAGGGUGGAUGAUCAGGAUACUCAUAUUGCUCAAUUAGAGGAGGAGAACUUAAUUCUCAAGGAGAGGCUGUUCUUGAUGGAGAGAGAGUUGGGUGAUCUGAGGAGGAGAUUGCAGAGUCUUGAGAGGCAGAAUAAUGGAGAAGCAGUGGCAAAUGAAUCUGAUAGUGAAACUGAAAGUUUCAGCGAUGCUCCAUCUGUAGAUAACAAUGUUGAAAUCGUUGUGGAGAACGAAGAUGUAGAUGUGAACCUAAAAUCAGAUAACACUAAUGAUGGUGGUAUUGAAACUGCUGAGAGUGAAGGGAACAUUGUUAAAGGAACUCAGCAACACUGGAAUAAUGAGACUUUUGAAGAAGCUGAGGCUGAUGACAAUGGAGCUAAGGCUGCAGAAAGCAAACACAAGAAGAGUGACAUGGAUUUGCAAGAGAAAGAAGACAAGAAGCAACAGGAUGUUGACGUGAAGGAAGACAGUGAUAGACUCAAUGUUGAGGCAUCUGAGAAUGAUGAACUCUCUCUUGUUGAUGUUAGUAUCAAGGAGGCUUCUCACAUGGAUGAUGAGAUGAAUGUGUAGAUGCAAUUUAAGGAUUGAAAUGAAUGAUCAGAGGAGAGCAUUUGCGAGGGUGACUUGUCUAAGUGUCCCACGUUAAUGGGUUCUUUAUGUCCAAGCCAACUCCCAAGGAAAUGUGGGAGGCCAAUCUAUGCUUUCCUCUUGCUCCAAUCGGAAGACCAGGAAUUGCAUGAUGCACCAGGAGGCAAUUAUCAUUUACUUCCCUGUUGAGGAACCCUUUAACUGAUAAUUCCAGAUCCCUGGGCUUUUAACAUCUCCAAACACUGGUUUAUUGCAAUUCCAUACUGGGCUGGCAGAACUUUGUUUAGAAAAUAAAGUUAGAAGGUGAGGGGAAAAUGCUAUUGUGAGACUAUUAUGUUUAAAAUGCUAAAAGUCACAAGCUAUGCUACCGGAGGAAUGUUAAAGUUGUGAAAGACUAUUAGCGAUCUCAAACUACUCAAAGUGAACUACUGCAAGAGAGUAGAGGUAGAAUGCAUUUGCCCUAUUUGUAUGGAUGAGGAAGUAACGCUCAGCCACGUUUUUGGCUCAUGUGAAUUUGUUGUCCGAGUUUGGGGAGCUGUGGGUUUGCUGGCACCUCGACAACAGGUUUGUAUGACUGCUUGGCUGGAUGCUCUUUUGCGUGACAGAAAUGGAGAUACGGUGAUUGGGUCUGUGGGUAUGUGGCGACUUUGCAUGGGAUCUGGAUGGUUAGGAACAAAGCUAUGUUUGAUCGUUUCUUGCCAACUCCGAACGAAGUUGUCGUGAAGGCCAGGAGGGAGUUGCGCGCGUGGCAGGUUGCUGAGGAGAGCAGGAGGAAAGGGUCGGUGACUGUAGCAGGACGACGGAAGCAGGUACAGGUGCUCGGUGGAUGCUGCGGCGGUUCCAGCAACUGGGAAGGUGGCGUUUGGCGUUUGUGUUCUUGACAAUGGGGGCUGUUUUGUUGCAGUUUCCAACGGAGAGGUUAGGUUGCAUUACCUUGGGGAUCAAGCCCCGUGAUCUGAACUGUGACUCCGACAACGAUACCCGCAGAACAGGCUAUUAGCUCAUUGGUUGCUCAUGUGGACACACAAGUUGACCCGGUCACUGCCCCGCCACAUUUGCGGCAUACGAGGGCACAGCCACUCGAGAGGGGCAUACUAUGCGUUUGCGCCACAUGACUCGGGGUACAAACGAGCAAUUCCAGGCUCUUAAUACAACUAUUGACCCCACGUGCUACUCUCAAGCUGUGGCUCAUCCACAAUGGCGGGAUGCAAUGGACCAAGAGUUCAAUGCCCUACUUCACAACACCACCUGGCGACUCAUAUCGGUUGAACCACACAUGAACGUCAUAGGGUGCAAAUGGGUAUCGCACCAAGCGGAAAGUAGAUGGGUCAGUGUGUCACUUACAGCGGUCUCUGUAUGGUCUUAAACAAGCGCCAUGGGCAUGGUUUCACCGGUUACAAGAUUUCCUAAUAUCAGCUGGUUUCCGGGGCUCGAAGACGGACGUGUCACUAUUCUAUUACACCGCUGGCUCGUCACGGGUAUUCUUGUUGAUACGUCGAUGACAUUAUCAUGCUAGGUAAUGACGCAGGUCUGAUUGACACUCUUGUACACCGCAUGUCUACUGCCUUUAAGAUCUAAGACUUAGGGGCCCUGGCUUUCUUCCUUGGGAUUGAGACACUCCUCGACAACGACAGUAUCAUCCUAUCACCACGGCGUUAUAUGGGGGAAAUUCUUACUCGAGCUGGCAUGGCUGAGUGUAAGUCGUUGGCAACGCCGGCCGCCCUAUCUCACCCGGUCACAACAUCAACUCAACCGUUUGACAACCCAACUCAAUAUCGACGAAUUGUUGGUGCACUCCAAUACUUAACCAUCACUCGCCUCGAUCUGUCAUUGUGUCAGUUUAUGCACUCACCGACUGAUGACCACUGGGGAUUGCUAAAACGUGUGCUACGGUAUAUCAAGGGUACUCAGGAUCUCACCUUCUUUGUUGUGUGAUAUUCAGGCCUAUUCCGACUCAGACUGGGCCGGUUGCCCGAUUGACAGAAAGUCAACAAGCAGCUAUGCAGUGUUCCUUGGCUCUAAUCUUGUCUCAUGGGUGUCGCGCAAACAACACACGAUGGCUAGGUCCUCCACCGAAGCAGAGUACAAGGGGCUUGCCGAUGUUUCAGCAGAAGUCACAUGGGUUGUGUCAUUAUUGCGAGAGUUAGGUCUACACAGCGAGUGUCCAGCCACUCUCUGGUGUGACAAUCUGGGUGCUACUUAUCUUGCCUCGAAUCCAAUUUUUCAUGCACGAACCAAGAAUGUCGAGAUUGAUUACCACUUUGUUCGGGACAAGGUGGCGUCCGGAGACUUUGUCGUAAACUUUGUUUUCACGAAGGACCAACUGGCGGAUAUAUUCACAAAGCCGCUAUCAGCGUCGCGUUUCAACAGUCUGCGGGACAAGCUUAAUGUCUGCCGCCUUUGCGCAUGAGGGUGAGUGUGAAUAAUAGUCUUAUUAUUGUUAUUAAUGUAUUUAGUCAAAGUCUGAAUAGCUAGUCUAGAGUCUUAAUCUCUAACAGUUAUAUGUGUUAUAUAACUAACAUAUUAGCAUGUGAAUUAUAAAACUAAUAUAUAACAAAAAUAUAUAUUGGGAAUGAAUA